GCCAAAGUAGCUCAGCUGGCUAGAGCAGCGGUAUCGUAAACCGCAGGUCGUGGGUUCGAAUCCCACCUUUGGCU
rnacentral:tRNA from 1 species